rnacentral:tRNA from 1 species
GAUAGCUGAGUCAGUAAAGCAUGAGACUCUUAAUCUCAGGGUUGUGGGUUCGAAUCCCGCGUUGGGCA